AGUGAACUGCCUACUAAAUCAACGUCCUGGGGUGACAGUCAUGAAUUACCAUACAACAUGGGUAAUCUAAUUGCUUUAUGAAUGUUGCUUCAGACAAAAAAUUGGAAUAGACAUUUUGAGCCUUCCAUUUUAUCAGAGCCCUGCCUGAGC